UAAUUUCUUGUCUUUGAUUUACUUUUUCAUUAUUAGUUUAAUGUUUCUUUAUCAAAUUUGUAUUAGUUUAAUGUUUCCUUGUCAUACUUUAAAUUCUCUUAGAAAUUGUCAUUUAAUAAAUUAUUCAUUCUAUUUUGUAUGUUGGAUCUUUAAUUGUGUGUCUCAUAGUUUAGUUAUUGUUUUUGCUUGCAAAUUUCAAUACUAUCAUUUUCAUUCAUGUUUAGUAUCAUCUUAGGGUUUGUCUUCAUCUUUUCCACCAUGAAUAGUAAGUAAAUCGAUUUUCUAGGGUUAGAGUUUGAACCUAUAAUUCAAGUAUGAUUUGAUUAUUAAAUGUGUCUAUGAAAUUAGGAUUAAUGUGAGUGAAUUGUGCCAUUAACCCUAAAUUAAAUAUGCUUUGUUGGACUAGUCAAUAGAACUAGCGUGCUAGAUUAGGAUCAACUUUGCUUUAGGGUAAAUUUUAGUUAAAUUCUUAUUAAUUCAUUCAAUAAAACUAGCGUGUGAGAAUUGAAUUAAUAGGGUCUAAAUCUAAUUGUUAAUCAGCAGAUCGAGAGUUUAAGAUUAACAAGAUCAUAUUUAGUCACAUAAUUAAUCUGACAUUUCAUGGAUACUAAUAAGAGUUUGAUCAUACAAGAAUUUAGGGGAUUCCCCACACCCUAGAUCUUUUCAUCAUAUAGUUAAACCCACAUUUUCAUUGCAUUAUUAGUUUAUUAGUCAAAAGCCAAUCAAAUAUUUUUUCUACUUGAGCCAUAUAAUUAAUAGAAAUUAGAAAGUUUCUUGUCUUAGCUUCCUUAUAUUCGACCUGCGACUACACGUACACCGUGCGCUUGCAGUUAAAUAAAAUUUGCAUAUCACUAUUUAUAUGAAUGGUAUGUUCUAUGCCAUUGCUAAUAACUCUAAUUGAUUUUAUUUACUCAAUAAAGAGAUUAACAUUCUUAAUAUAGUAAGCAAGAAACGACGAACAAAUGCUCCAAAUCAAACCCUACUAUGGCAUUGUCGUUUAGGCCAUAUCAACUUAAAUCGCAUUUAAAAGUUACUUAAAGAAGGAUUUCUACCAUUUUUGAUUAUAAAUCAUUUGAUGUAUGUGAAUUAUAUUUGAUUAGAAAAAUACAAGAUCGACCGUUACUAAAAAUGGUGAAAAACAAGCAAACUAUUAGGUCUAAUACAUACAGAUGAAUGUGGACCAAUGACUACAAAAGCAAAGGGUUGGUUACAAUCACUUCAUAACUUUCACUGAUGACUUUGUCCAAUCACUACCUUCUACUACUAUACUCGAACCUAGUUCGUGCGAAAAAUCUCAAAUUGUUGAGAAAAAAAAAUCUUCACAUAGGUCUAGUAGACCAAGAAUUCCAUCAAAGAAGUAUAUAUAGUUCUUGUUGACUGAAAGUUCUAAAAUACUGAUUUUUAGAGCAUAAAAAAACCUACUAGCUAUAAAGAUUUCUUAGCAAGUCAAAACUCUAAUUAAUGGCUUGGAGCCAUGAAUUCUAAAAUUAAAUCUAUAUUUGAAAACAAGUAUGAGACUUGAUUAAUUUGUCUAAUAGGUAAAAACUAUUGGUUGCAAAUGUUUUCAAAUUAAGAACAAACAAGAAAGGAAACAUUAAUGUUUUCAAGGCAAUGUUAUUGGCAAAGGAUAACAAACAACUUCAUCAUAUAGACUGUGAUGAUAUCUUUUGACCACUAGAAUUCCUUGAAUCCAUUCAAAUACUGUUAGCAAUUGUCGACUCUGACGAUCAAGAGAUUUUGCAAAUAAAUGUAAAAGCUACUUUCUUGAAUGGUUUCUUAGAAAAGAACGUAUAUAUGUCACAACUAAAAGGUUUUAGGAUCCAGAAAAUCAUACUAAAGUAUGCAAGCUUAAAAAAAUCUGUUUAUGGAUUGAAACAAGCAUCUCAGAGUUAAAAUUUUUGUUUUGAUGAGGUAUAUAAAAUUAUUGGUUUUCUCUAAAAUGGAGAUGAACUGUAUGUUUAUAAUUGAAGUUUAAUGGGAGUAGUAUUAGGUUUUGUAUGUUGAUGACAUAUUACUUAUAAGAAACGACAUGUCCAUGCUUGAUUCAAUUAAUGAAUGACUAAAGAAUUGUUUUUCGGUGAAAGAUCUUGGAAAAGCUAAGUAUAUUUUUAGAAUUAAGAUCUAUAGAGAUACAUGGCCUCUUGGAGAGUAAAAACUGAAAAUGCACGGUUCUGCUCAAAUGGAUUAAAGAGUUAACCAUUUGUUUUGAUAGUUCAUACUCAGAUUUUAAGAAAUAAAUUUGAACAUUAGUAUAUGUGACGUGAGUCAUCAUUAUGCUUUUAAAUUUUGACAUUAAGUGACUUAAGCAAUAUAAGUUACACACUUGUUUUUGACAAGUGGGAGAUUGAAGGAAAAAGGCGUCGUAAUAACCAAGUGUAACUACUAAAAUAUAAAUAGGAUAAAUUAGAGAUUAAUGCAUUCAUUUUAUUAGGUGAUUAUAGUUCUUUUGCUAGAAACAAACUUCAAUCUGUAUACUAAUUAAAUUAGUGUAUCGCUACUAUAAUCAGGUCCUAUAAAGUUAUACAUAUAAGUAAUUUGAUUGGAUAGAACGAUGCCAAUUGUCUAAAAUGCUCUUUAAACUAUUUAGUGUACGUAAGAAUUAAUAGUAUGGUUUGAUGAGGUGCAUAGUGAUUAUUACAUGUAGAAAGCAAACAAAAGGAAUAUGCACUUGUGUAUAAAUAGGUACACUUUACCAUCAUUUGAUACAUGCUCAAAUGCUUAAUUCUCUACACUCUCCACCUAAAUAUUAGUAAGAGAAAUAGUUUUUUUAUUCCGUAUUAGCAUAUGUGGUGAUCUAAUUGGUGAUUGUGAUCAAUACUAAAGGAACGACACUUGAUGUUCUUAUCUGCCAUCGGCCAUCUUUACCUUUAGGAUAUUAUGCUAUGAGGAACAAGAGCUCGUCGUUGAUUAGCACGCUGAUAUGUGAUGAUUCUUUGCGGAGGCGAUGGAUGUGGAGGAGGAGUGGUCAUGGAAGCUGGAGGAACAAAUAGCGACCUAGCACCGGAUGUCGAUGGGGAUCUGGAAGACCGACCUCGAGUAGAUGAACACUCGCGACCUCUUGUGGACCGAGUACUUGAUCCUCCGGAAGAGCUACCUCGGUGGGCCGAAAUCCGUGGAGAAGAAGUGUGGAAUGUGUCAUCUACCUCGCCAAUGAUAGGUGAAGUCGGAAUGAGGUACUCAUACCCCGCCUGACUCAAUGCAUCGGUCAAUGACGCGUUAAUGGAGCCAAGGGUCUGAGAACAUAGCCGAUACCCCACAUCAACUGGCGAUGUGGCGGCCCCGUGAAUCGUGUCAUUGCAUUAUAUGAGCACCGAUCGGAUGCGCUCAGCCUGUAUGUUAUCAUUAUAUUGUUAAAAAAAUCACAUAAAAGGAUUACUGUAACACCCCGAGAUUUUCUGACGUCAUUAAUUAAUAUUUUAAUGACUUUUGGGUAUUUUAUAAUUAUAUUAAAUUAAUUUUGAAGUAGUUUUAAUAAA